rnacentral:rRNA from 1 species
CUACGGGCUGCUCCAGUGGGGAAUAUUGCACAAUGGGCGCAAGCCUGAUGCAGCCAUGCCGCGUGUAUGAAGAAGGCCUUCGGGUUGUAAAGUACUUUCAGCGGGGAGGAAGGGAGUAAAGUUAAUACCUUUGCUCAUUGACGUUACCCGCAGAAGAGGCACCGGCUAAGUCCGUGCCAGCAGCCGCGGUAAUACGGAGGGUGCAAGCGUUAAUCGGAAUUACUGGGCGUAAAGCGCACGCAGGCGGUUUGUUAAGUCAGAUGUGAAAUCCCCGGGCUCAACCUGGGAACUGCAUCUGAUACUGGCAAGCUUGAGUCUCGUAGAGGGGGGUAGAAUUCCAGGUGUAGCGGUGAAAUGCGUAGAGAUCUGGAGGAAUACCGGUGGCGAAGGCGGCCCCCUGGACGAAGACUGACGCUCAGGUGCGAAAGCGUGGGGAGCAAACAGGAUUAGAUACCCCUGUAGUC